rnacentral:rRNA from 12 species
ACCCUCGGGGGUAGAGCACUGGAUGGGUAAUGGGGCCCCACAGGCUUACUGAUCCUAACCAAACUCCGAAUACCGAGGAGUACUAGAUGGCAGACACACAGCGGAUGCUAACGUCCGUUGUGAAGAGGGAAACAACCCUGACCUACAGCUAAGGCCCCUAAUUCAUGGCUAAGUGGGAAAGCAGGUGGGAUGUCCAAAACAACCAGGAAGUUGGCUUAGAAGCAGCCAUCUUUUAAAGAUAGCGUAACAGCUCACUGGUCUA